UACAGAGGGGGCGAGCGUUGUUCGGAAUUACUGGGCGUAAAGGGCGCGUAGGCGGCCCGCUAAGUCGAACGUGAAAUCCCCAGGCUCAACCUGGGAACUGCGUCCGAUACUGGCAGGCUUGAAUCCGGGAGAGGGAUGUGGAAUUCCAGGUGUAGCGGUGAAAUGCGUAGAUAUCGAGAGGAACACCGGUGGCGAAGGCGGCCUUCUGGACAGAAACUGACGCUGAGACGCGAAAGCGUGGGGAGCGAACAGG
rnacentral:rRNA from 1 species